UAGUGUUUGCGGGCUCACAGGACAUUGAUAUUAUUGAAAUUUUAUGAGAUGUACUAUAUAUUAAAUUCAGAGAUAUUUUAAAAUUGAUGAAUUUUAUUGUUUAAUUAAUUAUUUUGCAUAAAAAGUUAAUAUCAUGCGAUUAUUGGAAAUUAAACUACAGCAUAUUCUACGGAUACCAUUGCUCUUUGCCCUCUUUGCUUUUUUUUGUUGUGUUAUUCUGUCUGUGGUAUCCAACUUUGAAGCUGCUACCAAGACUCAUUGUAAUGU